rnacentral:rRNA from 1 species
GGAGGAAAAGAAACCAACAGGGAUUGCCUCAGUAACGGCGAGUGAAGCGGCAAAAGCUCAAAUUUUAAAGCUGGCACCUCCGGUGUCCGCGUUGUAAUUUUGUGAGGCAUCUCCGGGUGGGGCGCCGGCCUAAGUUCCUUGGAACAGGACGUCAUAGAGGGUGAGAAUCCCGUGCUUGGCUGGCUGUCCCCGUCCAUGUGAGGUGUCUUCGACGAGUCGAGUUGUUUGGGAAUGCAGCUCAAAAUGGGUGGUAAAUUUCAUCUAAAGCUAAAUAUUGGUGGGAGACCGAUAGCGCACAAGUAGAGUGAUCGAAAGAUGAAAAGCACUUUGAAAAUAGAGUUAAAAAGUACGUGAAAUUGUUGAAAGGGAAGCGCUUGAGACCAGACUUCGGUGGGGAGUGAUCAGCCGUCCUUCUGGGCGGUGCACUUGCCCCCCUCCGGGCCAGCAUCGGUUGGGACGGCGGGAUAAAGGUCCCGGGAAUGUGGCUCCUCUCGGGGAGUGUUAUAGCCCGGGUGAAUGCCGCCAGCCCCGACCGAGGACCGCGCCUUCGGGCUAGGAUGCUUGGCAUAAUGGUCUUCAGCGACCCG